UAGGAAAAGAGCUCUGGUUGCUAUUGGUACCCAUGAUUUGGACACUCUGUCAGGCCCAUUUACUUACACUGCAAAGCGGCCUUCAGAUAUCAAAUUCAAGCCUCUAAACAAGACCAAGGAGUAUACAGCCUGUGAACUGAUGAACAUGUACAAGACUGACAACCAGCUUAAACAUUACUUACAUAUCAUU